AGUACUAGGGGUGUUUUCGAACUGAGAUGGUGUCAUCCAAACCCUUUGAACCUGACCUAGUUAAUACUAGCGUAGGGAAGUAUAUA
rnacentral:ncRNA from 1 species